rnacentral:tRNA from 1 species
GGAGAGUUGUCAGAGUUUGGCUUAUUGUGCUUCCUUGCUAGGGAAGUGGGGCGAUUACGUCUCCGUGGGUUCGAAUCCCACACUCUCCUCCA